AAUAAGAGAUUCUCCACAAAUAUCCUCCACAAAAGCCUCCAUGUUCUUAUCCGAAGAUCCUCCUUCUCUACCCGCUUCCAUCGCUAAACGCUUCCAUUUCUUUGCGUUUUCCCUCAACUCCACCGACUUCUCCUCCAUCACGGCUUCCAAACACCUCCUGAUCUCUCCUCUCUCCACCAAACCAUCCUUGUUCUCUCUUACCCUCACACCAGUCUUCCAACUUUCUUCCAGUAGCUUCGCGUUCGUCGGUUGAUCCGACCACAUCGGAAACGCCACAACCGGAACGCCAAGAACCAAACUCUCCAGCGUCGAGCUCCACCCACAAUGAGUCACAAAACAACCUACGGCUCGGUGACUUAAAACCUCUAUCUGCGAACACCACGACACAAUCAUCCCAACCUCUUCAAGCUCGUGUCUGAAUCCAGCUAUCUUCUCAAUCUCUGUCUCUUCUUCUCCUUCUGUUUUCGUUUCUCUGUUGGAUUUAUCAGUUAUAACCCACAAAAACGGUCGUUUCCCUUCUAUGAGUGCUCUCGCUAGUUCCUCUAUCUGUUUCUUGGACAACUCAACCAUUGUUCCAAAGGAAACGUAAAUAACAGAGGACUCUGUUUUCGAGUCUAGCCAAAGUGUAUAACUACUACUUUGAUCUUUAACUGAUUUGUUGGUGCUUCCUGAGAAAAUCUCCGUGGGAAGUAAAGGACCAACCGCCACCAUAUCGAUAUUCGGGAAAGCCGUUAAGGCCUCUGGUUCCAGCGAAUCGAAAGUGUUGAUGAGAAUUUUCGGUUUGGUUUCUUUUAUGAGAAACUCCAUCAUUUCUUGAAACGCAUCGUAUGCGCCUUUGUUUGUGUUGGAAGGUGUGAGGAAAGAUGGAAGAUCUCUGAUUUCCAGAGAAGACAGAUUAGGUAACUCGAAAACGGACUUGUUUCCCAUGAAAUGAGUGUAAUAGAUGUUGAAAACCAAAGCCGGUUGGAUCCAGAGAAGAGCGGAGGGAAGUUGAAAUCUACGUGCUACUUUUGGAGCCCAAUUGAGAAGAAUCGUGUAGAUCAAGCAAGUCACGGGAGAGUCACCAUUCUUAGUAGCUUCGAUGAAAUCCGAUAGUGCCUUAUCGCCGUUAACCUUGAGAUUCACCGACCUUUUCUGACGGUCUUCGUAGGUGGAAAUGCCUCCAUCGUCGAAACCGUCGGAGAAAGUAAGGAAAGAGAGAUUUUCGACUUUGUUGUGGUUUGCGAUCAUGGAGUUGUGGAAGACGGAGACACAAGUGACGAAAGUGACACGUGCGCCGGUUCUUUUGAUGAGCCGACGAGCAAAACGGAGAGAUGGGUUCACGUGACCUUGCGCCGGAAACGUUACCAGUAGAAAAUGCGGUGGCGCCAUUUUUUUUCUACUUGUCUUAGCUCCACUGAAGUGAGUAUCAAUACAAGAAUCUGUGUCUCUCCUUGUGGAUAUAUCUGUGCUUUCAUAUGUAUAUAUAUACAUAUAUAUAAAUAUAGAUGAGGAAUUGGAUUUUG
rnacentral:sRNA from 1 species